rnacentral:rRNA from 1 species
UCCGUAGGCGGGUCUGUAAGUCAGUGGUGAAAUCUCCCGGCUCAACCGGGAAAUUGCCAUUGAUACUGCAGGUCUUGAAUUAUUGGGAAGUAACUAGAAUAUGUAGUGUAGCGGUGAAAUGCUUAGAGAUUACAUGGAAUACCAAUUGCGAAGGCAGGUUACUAUCAAUAUAUUGACGCUGAUGGACGAAAGCGUGGGUAGCGAACAGGAUUAGAUACCCUGGUAGUCCACGCCGUAAACGAUGGAUACUAGCUGUUGGGUGCAAACUCAGUGGCUAAGCGAAAGUGAUAAGUAUCCCACCUGGGGAGUACGAACGCAAGUUUGAA